GUAUAAUGGGUCAGCGACUUAUAUUCUGUAGCAAGGUUAACCGAAUAGGGGAGCCGGAGGGAAACCGAGUCUUAACCGGGCGUUAAGUUGCAGGGUAUAGACCCGAAACCCGGUGAUCUAGCCAUGGGCAGGUUGAAGGUUGGGUAACACUAACUGGAGGACCGAACCGACUAAUGUUGAAAAAUUAGCGGAUGACCUGUGGCUGGGGGUGAAAGGCCAAUCAAACCGGGAGAUAGCUGGUUCUCCCCGAAAGCUAUUUAGGUAGCGCCUCGUGAAUUCAUCUCCGGGGGUAGAGCACUGUUUCGGCUAGGGGGCCAUCCCGGCUUACCAACCCGAUGCAAACUGCGAAUACCGGAGAAUGUUAUCACGGGAGACACACGGCGGGUGCUAACGUCCGUCGUGAAGAGGGAAACAACCCAGACCGCCAGCUAAGGUCCCAAAGUCAUGGUUAAGUGGGAAACGAUGUGGGAAGGCCCAGACAGCCAGGAUGUUGGCUUAGAAGCAGCCAUCAUUUAAAGAAAGCGUAAUAGCUCACUGGUCGAGUCGGCCUGCGCGGAAGAUGUAACGGGGCUAAACCAUGCACCGAAGCUGCGGCAGCGACACUGUGUGUUGUUGGGUAGGGGAGCGUUCUGUAAGCCUGUGAAGGUGUGUCGUGAGGCAUGCUGGAGGUAUCAGAAGUGCGAAUGCUGACAUAAGUAACGAUAAAGCGGGUGAAAAGCCCGCU
rnacentral:rRNA from 1 species